rnacentral:rRNA from 1 species
AAACUUAAAGGAAUUGACGGGGACCCGCACAAGCGGUGGAUGAUGUGGUUUAAUUCGAUGCAACGCGAAAAACCUUACCCACCUUUGACAUGUAUGGAAGAUCGCAGAGACGCGAUUGUGCUCGAAAGAGAGCCGUAACACAGGUGCUGCAUGGCUGUCGUCAGCUCGUGUCGUGAGAUGUUGGGUUAAGUCCCGCAACGAGCGCAACCCUUGUCAUUAGUUGCUACAUUUAGUUGGGCACUCUAAUGAGACUGCCGGUGACAAACCGGAGGAAGGUGGGGAUGACGUCAAGUCCUCAUGGCCCUUAUAGGUGGGGCUACACACGUCAUACAAUGGCUGGUACAAAGGGUUGCCAACCCGCGAGGGGAGCCAAUCCCAUAAAGCCAGUCGUAGUCCGGAUCGCAGUCUGCAACUCGACUGCGUGAAGUCGGAAUCGCUAGUAAUCGUGGAUCAGAAUGUCACGGUGAAUACGUUCCCGGGUCUUGUACACACCGCCCGUCACACCAUGGGAGCGGGUUCUGCCAGAAGUAGGUAGCCUAACCGUAAGGAGGGCGCUUACCACGGCAGGGUUCGUGACUGGGGUGAAGUCGUAACAAGGUAGCCGUAUCGGAAGGUGCGGCUGGAUCACCUCCUUUAUGAC